GUGAACGAAGAAGGCCUUCGGGUCGUAAAGUUCUGUUGUUAGGGAAGAACAAGUACCAGAGUAACUGCUGGUACCUUGACGGUACCUAACCAGAAAGCCACGGCUAACUACGUGCCAGCAGCCGCGGUAAUACGUAGGUGGC
rnacentral:ncRNA from 1 species